CACUUGCCUACCAACGCCAUUCCCGUAUUUCUCUGGAGCUGCCACUUCCAAAGCGACACCACCGGAGCCAGAACUCUGGGUUCCACCCCCCCGCGGGGAGCAGCGCAGUGGGGAUGAUGAGAAGUUUGUGAAAAUAAGGAAUGGCCAGGCCAGGAAGCGCUGACCCAGGAACAAAGACCUGGAGCCCAGGAGGCCCCGUUCCCCUGGUGCUGAGCAGUUGCCUCCUCACCUCUACCUGAUCUUCUGCACUGCAGAUGACUCAAAUAGAACCAACGCUCCAUGGGUGAGCCAGACUUACUAACAAACACCACAAGCCUUUGCUCCAGCAUCUCCCUGCACCCAUCCCCUCUUUUCUUCUGCUGUGCUCCAUCCUAACCUCUCGCUGUUUAGAGCUUGGGCUCCAUUCUCCCACACCAAAUCAAAAAACAAAGAGGAACAUAAAGGAAAGCCCCUGUGCGCUCUCAGACUCUUCCUGUAGAGUCACACAUGGGAGGUUUGCCAACAUCUGCAUGUGUGUACCUCAAACAGAGCUAAAUCCAUUUCUUUGGGGAAGGACCAGCACCUGGGUUUGCACAACUCACUUGGGGAGCACUCCUGACAUCAGCUGCUUCCCCAGGAGCUCCUACAGCCUACGGGACUGGCACACACCGUGCCGUUUCUUUGGGUAUCUUUUCCUCAUUUGGCACUGAGUAUCACUUACUUGCAAAGUGGGAGAACAAUACGGCUCUGAAAAGGAACAUUUCACAAGAUACACGAUCGCGCAAACCCAGCGUUUCAGCACGCGCGCCAGACUCCAGUGGGGUCCCAACAUGUUUUCCAAGGCAACCAGCAGAGCUCCAUCUCCGAGCGCGCCACCACAACUCCAGACUAUUCCCUGGCUUUGUUUCCACUUGCCACCAGCAAAAUCUACCAGCACGCCCCAAACUUUCCUAUUUCCUUAGCACUCAGGUAAGAAACAAUGCACGAGCUGAACCCAAAAAGACAGUGCAAGCUGCUGUGGAAGAGGGACAGCACACAAAAAUCAACUCCACUCCACCCCAGCAUCCAAAGGACCUAAAGGGCUUCAGCUGUAUCAGCCAGGGUAACUCCGCUCAGAAACAAUCAAAGCAUCUUUUUUAGAGGGAUAAUAAAUUUCUGACUUUGUGCAACUCUCACUUUGUUCUGCUUCCCCUGCUGUGGGUUUGCAAUCCAGCAUGGGCUUGUUCUUAUCUUAGACAACAUCACAAGGGAAAAAAUACAGGACAGACAAAGGGAUGGAAUAAAAAAUCAAGCAGGCAACAAGGCAGGGUUUGGAAAAAGCUCAUAUGCAAAGGCCUUUUAAAAAAGGCAGCUCACAUGUAAAGGCAUUUUAAAGAGGCAGCAGACAAAGGAAUUCAAACACAAAUGCAUUUCAGUUGGGAUUUCUGGUGAAGGUUAAUUAGACAGCAGCACCUAGAAAUAGAUUUUGCGAGUUCUGAGGCAAGGACAAAGUCAUGAGGUGAUACCCAACUGCCAGUUCUCGGAAAGCACAGGACAACCCCAUCAGAAAAGCACAGGGGCUUCUAAAAGCACUGACUUAUCAAAAAAGAGAAAUCUUACUGCAAGGUUCUGACUUUACCAUCACGUGGCCUUGGCCUGAGACAGUGGGGAAACACAAGCACCAGGAACGCCAGAAAAUUAUGCAACAGCUAAUCAGACCCCAACAAGACCUUGCUCCAGAAGAUGGAGGUGCUAUUUUAAUACAGCUCCCAACUCCAAGGCUGAGCUUUGCAAGAGUUCUGGGAAUCCAAAAGUCGUGAAAUAAGCAGAACAGCUACGAGAGGUUUUGUGCCUCAUUAGUGAGAGGCUACACUCACAAGGGAAAAGCCUUUAGAUCAAGGAAAGUUGUUUGUUUUUAAAGUUUCACAACCAAAACCCACUCGUUGGCCUCUCAAGAGAGAUGCUCUCAGGAAGCUUAAUGUUCAACACAGUGUUGGUUCACUGAAGCUUCAGUUACCAAUAUUAGCACCUUAAACCACAGCUCCCAAGACAUCCUUGGAGGUAGAAGGGGGGAAGGCAAGCCCCCCGCUCACUUGCAGCCUGGGGGAAGGAUGGGUUGCUGGAUACAAGCAGCAGGAGCAGCACAAGUCACGCAGCAGCAUGGACACGCAGCUCUGGGCUCAGUGGCUGCCAACCGCCCCCAUCCCCUACAGAAGCUCUACCAAAAAAGUGGGCAUGAGUGCUGCUAGUUUGCCUACGAGGCCUAGAUGGUGCUAGUCAUCAACCUGACAAAUUUACAGCAGAAAACCUGCUGUCACUUGGUUCAGAACAGCUUCCCACCCUGCUCACAACCCACCACAAAGCCGGGGCUUCGCGACCCAGGGAAACGCAAUGCUCCUCACAGGGAUGCCACCCUCAGCAUCCCUGGAUGCGUGACACUCCCUUGUGCAGGAAGUCAUCGCUUCACAGAGGUCCCAAAGAUGCUGCAGGAUGCCCAUGGAGUAUUACAAGGCCCACAAAUACCAGCCACCUUUGCUGAAGCUAAAAGGAGCACCCUGAAGAUGAUGGAGAAGUAACUGGGUUCGCAUCCUCGUGUUCCCUUUCAUGCCCAAGCUGCCAACGGUCUUGUAUUGCUCAGCCCCAAUAUAGCCUUUUUGCACUCUGGCUUUUCAGCUGUCUGGGUUUCCUUUGCAGAGAGCAGCUCUGCCUCUGCUUUGGUGUUUGCUGAUGCUUUCAAAAAGCCAUGGAUUUGCGCUGGUUUCAAACCUUGGUUAUUCCCGAGUCUGUAACAGGAAAGCUCCUGCCUUGAGGGCCAGGCAAUCCACGCACUGCUCAGGGCAGGUAAGAGGAGAGAGGAAGUUCAGCAUCCUACAGCAGGCACAGGGUGGCCAACCCAGUCCAAAGCCUCCAUUUCCAGUCCCCCGGAGAUGUUUGACUGGGACAAGUCCAAGGCUUGUCAGCAGAAAACCCUGCAGGGGAGUUCGCUGUCAUAGCAAAUGCUCCAGAGUUAAAUCCUUUGCUGAACAGGACACAUGAUGCCCAGCUCAUACAACAGCUGUUAAUAUUCUAAGGAACAGAUAAUAUUAUAUUUCAGGAAAAAGCAAAAUUACCCAGUUACAUGAGAACUUCACUAUGCAGUGAGGAACUAGAUACAGUGGGAGAAAAGCUGGUUUUGUUUUGGGUUUCUUUUUUUUUCAGAAGGGCUAGUCUCCACUGACUCAGAUAGGCUUGGAGGUGGUUUCAGGUGCUUAUGAAAGUUAAGCCCUAAAGCUGUGCACCAGAGGAUCUCUGGUUAUUACAGAGCGUUGCCAAACUAGUUUCCACCGUGUUAUCUAUGCAGCCCUUCUCCUGCUAAAAACACAAUUCCCCUUGUGACGUUCCCACAUCCUGAACAAAAUUCCUGAAAACAACUCUCAAAAACCUCACUGGUUCUCCUCCUGGCCUGACCCAAUGGCACCGUCACAGGUGGUAACAACAGGGCAGUCGGGACCCAUCGUGACCAGUUAAAUGGCAUCUGGAGUUUCAUUUCAGAGCCUGUUGUUUGCACAAACAACCCAAGGUCUGACAUGGAAGGGGUGAGAAGCAGACUGCGGUGCUCGGCUCUCUUAACAAGGAGCUGCAAAACUGCAGUUGGGGAGAAAUUGGUAAUACACAGGGACAAGCCAACAUUUCCAAAAGUGAACGCAGAUCCGUGGAUAUCAAAUCGCACGUCUGAUUUCCACCCCCUCCCACCACAUACUUUGUAAGCCAAAAAAAGGCUUUAUCUGGGUGGAUUUUCCAGGGAAGGAGAAGCCCUUUCUGUACCACUGCCCAGUUCCUGGAUCAAACAACAGAAAAUGGCACAGCUGACCAGAUACCAUCACCCCCAUCCUUUCCCACAGGGCUCCAGCCACAGAAUUUAUCCCAUCAGCUGGAAACCUUCCCCCAGCAAGGCAGCUCAGCCCAAACGUCAGCAAACAGUGUUUUACCUGCACAGGCAGCAGAGGGCAGCUCCCAGGAAAGGUGCAUCCCUGCAAACAACCUGUCCAAAGUCCAUGCUAAGAGCACACAUCCAGCCUGGGGGUAGGAGCCGGCCAAGCCAGGAACAAAAGCCAGUCACUCAUUAGCCUUAUUCCUAAACAGAGAUGUUCUUCCCUGCUCCAGCCUCCCUGCCAGUGGACUUGUGCCUUCUUAGAAAGCUGAUUAUGAAGCGGGCAGGGGCUCCGGGGAGCUCCCCCAGAGCCCACUCACCGGCUGACAGCAGGGAGAGGUGAGCAGAGCAUGGGGUGGGAGCUACUGCAUCAGCUGCAGCACAAGGCCAUGACAUACCCCACUUCUUUGCAAGGAAACAUUGCCUUUUGUGCUUAGCCGUGGCUCCAGAAGAGCUUGAACCAUAUCCCAGGACACGUGCAAACCAACAAGCGGCUCCUGUCCCUUUUUGCUUCCAACUUCAGGCCUGAGAUGUGCUGCUGAGCCACCUGAGGGUUAACGCCGAGCCGCUGCAAACCUUCUCCACCUGUUCCCCAUUACCAGCUCCACUUUUUGUUACUUAGGGCCAGGAUCUGGCCCAGCUGGUGGCUAGCUGUCCAGGCAGCGGAGGAACACUCAACUGACCCCCUUUGUCUCUGCAAACACUUGCCUGUUUUCCAGCCUGCGUGGUCCCGUGCCCGUAAAAAGCUAUUUACUGUUCUGAGAACACUCAAGGCUCCAGUUUGCUACCUGCCACAAGCCAGCUUCUGCUGCUGAACCAGAAAUCACACCAAGAAUUGCAUUUGCCCCAAAUAAAACUGGGCUCUGGAAGGGACAAUUGUUAAUAAAAAUCCAGUUCUCAUUUUAUUGGGGGGAUAAAGAAAAAGAAAAACCUAUAUGCCAUCAUCCAUCUUAGAGCUAUGUUUCCAAAGGGGCCUUCAAUCAAACUGUGGGUUUGCACUGGCCCUUACCUCAUCUCAGAGGAUGAGCAGCCAGCACGAGCUCCACGUGGGCUGCAGCUUGGGGCUGUCAGUGCUGUCACUUGUGCUGCCGAAGAUGGAGGGCUCUGCACUGCGUACUGCUAUAUCCAGAGCCGCAGCUGCAAAUUUAGAAACGUUGCCUGAAUUUCUCUUUGUGCUCUCCCACGUCCUGCCCUGCUACAACUCCUGUCUGCUUGCGUUUCGGUUCUUAAAAACCACUGCUUAGCAACCUGACAGCCUUUUCGCUUCGAGCACAAGGCAACCAGUUCCUCCCAUUCCCACUCCUCCAACAGACAAACCAUCCGAGAUGGAGCCAGGCUGACAGCCCGGCAGCCGUGGUGACAUGAGGGCAGCUUGUGUCACCUCUUGGCAGCUCCAGUGUAUUUCUGUCUGUGGGAGGACAAAGAAAGGUCUCCAUCCCUCCUGAUGCCACAGAUCGCAUCUGUACUUCCACAACAAGCGUUUCUGCUGUGGAGUAAUAUCCUCACUGGAGCAAAGGAUAGGUAAUUACAGAGCCUUCAGUAAAUCUUUUAAGCCACUCAUCCAAAGUCCCCAGAGGGAAGCAGGUGAGACUAUAAUGCACAUUGCACAAGAGAUACGUAUCUAGGGUAUUUUAUUUUAUAAAAACCUCUCUCCCCUCCCUUUGCGGUUUGUUUAAAAGGAAUGGCAAAACAAACCAGCCCUGUCUU